rnacentral:piRNA from 1 species
UGGAGAUUUGCCCCUGCUGCCCUGAA